UUCUCUCGGCUAAGGAACUGC
rnacentral:miRNA from 1 species